rnacentral:rRNA from 1 species
AAAUUGAAGAGUUUGAUCAUGGCUCAGAUUGAACGCUGGCGGCAGGCCUAACACAUGCAAGUCGAACGGUAACAGGAAACAGCUUGCUGUUUCGCUGACGAGUGGCGGACGGGUGAGUAAUGUCUGGGAAACUGCCUGAUGGAGGGGGAUAACUACUGGAAACGGUAGCUAAUACCGCAUAAUGUCGCAAGACUAAAGAGGGGGACCUUCGGGCCUCUUGCCAUCGGAUGUGCCCAGAUGGGAUUAGCUAGUAGGUGGGGUAACGGCUCACCUAGGCGACGAUCCCUAGCUGGUCUGAGAGGAUGACCAGCCACACUGGAACUGAGACACGGUCCAGACUCCUACGGGAGGCAGCAGUGGGGAAUAUUGCACAAUGGGCGCAAGCCUGAUGCAGCCAUGCCGCGUGUAUGAAGAAGGCCUUCGGGUUGUAAAGUACUUUCAGCGGGGAGGAAGGGAGUAAAGUUAAUACCUUUACUCAUUGACGUUACCCGCAGAAGAAGCACCGGCUAACUCCGUGCCAGCAG